AAGUCGUAACAAGGUUUCCGUAGGUGAACCUGCGGAAGGAUCAUUAAUGAAUAUGAAUUGAGGCGCACUUUCGAGUGACCUGUGAGUCCUCUUCUGGUAUAGGGACAUCGAGGCCUUGAAAAGUGCGCCUCCGAGUCCGUUCUCUGAGACGGGACUUGUCUUAUCCAUUUACACCGAGCACCCUUUCUCUAUACACCCUUUUAAUACACUUAAGUCAUAUGAAUGUUAAAGUCUCUUAAUUGAGCAUGAAACAAAUAAAACUUUCAGCAACGGAUCUCUUGGCUCCC
rnacentral:misc_RNA from 1 species